UACGUAGGGGGCUAGCGUUGUCCGGAAUCAUUGGGCGUAAAGCGCGUGUAGGCGGCCCGGUAAGUCCGCUGUGAAAGUCGGGGGGCUCAACCCUCGGAAGCCGGUGGAUACUGUCGGGCUCGAGUACGGAAGAGGCGAGUGGAAUUCUCGGUGUAGAGGUGAAAUUCGUAGAUAUCGAGAGGAACACCGGUGGCGAAGGCGGCCAACUGGACGAAUACUGACGCUGAGGAGCGAAAGCGUGGGGAGCAAACAGG
rnacentral:rRNA from 1 species